UUUUCAGUUAAUGCUUUCUCUCUCUCUCUCUCUCUCUCUCUUCUGUUCUUUUUCUUCUCUCUCUUUCUCAACCCUAACCGCCGCACCUUACACCGCCGCCUCACCGCUGUCGAACUCCGGUCAGGGGCAACCAAAAUGAAGUUCUCUUUUUCCUCUAUCCUUUUCACUUUUUGGAUUUCCAUGAAACACCUCGGAAAUCCACGAAUGCCUAAAUCGAGAUUCGGACUUUCCUCGGCCCCGAUCUCCGCCGGGCAUUGUCGGAUCACCGCGAUUUUUCAGUAUGUUUUCCUCGACACGCACACUGUUCGGAUUUUCGAACGGAGCUCCGCUGCUUAAGAACUUGAGAAUGCCGAAACUAAUGGGUUCUUCUUGAUUCCUGAGUUCCGGUUCUGAAUUGGUGAGGGUUGACUUUUUACUGGUGCGACGGUAGAAAUGGGAUAACGGUGGUGAGGGAACCGUGAGAGAUGGUGGAGGUAGUGAGGGACUAGGGUUUUGGCUUUCUACAAUGGUGGUCAGAUUGUUCAGUGAAGCUUUAUUGUUGAUGGCUAAUGGUUGAUUUCAUGGGUGAUAGUGAUGAGUUAUGGGAGAUGGCGAGGUGAGCUCGCUGGUGAGGGGUAAUUUUGAUAGGAGAUGGUGAAGGAGAUUGUAAUGGUGGUUGGGAGAGUCUUUGUGAAAGGUUGAAUGGAGGGGAAAGUGCCGAGUGAGGCUGGAGUGGGUGCCUGAAAGAGUGGGAGAGCGGCGGUGUUGAGGGAGGUGUAGUGAGUUGGAGGUGUGAGGUUGUAAAUGGUUAUGGUAAAGGCGGGAUCAGUUAUGGAGGAUGGCGAGGGGAUGAUGGUGCUCGAGAAUGGGAGAAUAACCAGGGGAAGUGAGGAAGAGUGUUUUCUUUUUCUGUUUUAUGGAGGAGGCAGAGCUAGGAUGCUGGAUGAUGGGAGGUGCUGGCGGUGGUAGGCCGGUUGUGAUGUGAGUGUACAACUUGUAGGGGUGCAGGUGCCAAAUUGCAAGCUUUAGUAAUUUACGAUCAAAUUGUUGUAUUCAAUAAACUAGAGGGGCCCUUUUGUAACUAUCCUUUUUGAGAUUUUUCAUUUUUUUUACAUAAUAAAAUAUAGUAAAUGUAUAACAUUUAUAAAAACUAAAUACAUGUCAGGUACUGUAGAAGUUCUUAUUCCAUAA